rnacentral:rRNA from 1 species
ACUCAAAUGAAUUGACGGGGGCCCGCACAAGCAGUGGAGAAUGUGGUUUAAUUCGAUGCAACGCGAAGAACCUUACCCAGGUUUGAAAUAUAGAGGACAGCUACAGAAAUGUAGUCUCCCGCAAGGGUCUCUAUACAGGUGCUGCAUGGCUGUCGUCAGCUCGUGCCGUGAGGUGUUGGGUUAAGUCCCGCAACGAGCGCAACCCUUAUCAUUAGUUGCCAACACGCGAGGUGGGAACUCUAAUGAGACUGCCCGGGUUAACCGGGAGGAAGGUGAGGAUGACGUCAAGUCCGCAUGGCCUUUAUACCUGGGGCUACACACGUUCUACAAUGGUCGGUACAGAAGGCAGCAAGACCGUAAGGUGGAGCAAAUCCGCUAAAGCCGAUCUCAGUUCGGAUUGUAGUCUGCAACUCGGCUACAUGAAGUUGGAAUUGCUAGUAAUGACGUGUCAGCAAUAACGUCGUGAAUACGUUCCCGGGCCUUGUACACACCGCCCGU